GGCUCUCAAGCAAGGUCCACUUGCAGUGAAAUAAACCAGAGGUUUGAAUCAUGGCUUGAUAUGAAAUGAUUGGAAAGAAUAUGGCGAUGACAUCCACAAUGCCGGAUAAAGAAAAUAUUUAGAAGAUGAGAUUCCUGUGUUUCUGGCUUUCAUAACUUUUUAGACUUCCUUUCUACUGGAAAACUUUUAACUUUGAAAACCGCAAGUAAUAUUUUUCUUCCUGAAACCACUGCAGUGGUAGCAAUGCAUUGAAGUUUGAUUAAAAGUUUACUGGUCAUUCCUGCCAUGAGAAGAUGAUAGAGAAUAUCACCACAGUGUUACUUGCUUCCAAGGCAGCAUGGUUUCAUGCAGAGGAUCUAACCUGGGGAUCAUGUGCUGGGCUGCAAAAGGGCUGUGCAGUGCCUAAAAUUUUGUGCAAAAUUUUAUAAAGGUAGGUCAUGUAUUGCUCCAUUGAUGCUGCCCUUAUUCAUGAUGAUUAAAGCCUUUGGGAGGUAUUCCUUCAGAACAAUGGACAACUUCGAUAAGUACUGGUAAGAAAAUAAGUAGAAACUCUAAAUUUGAAGUCUUC
rnacentral:lncRNA from 1 species